rnacentral:rRNA from 1 species
CCCCCUCCAAAUCCUACUAUUUACCCGGUGAUUGUUUGUUUGGUUUUAGGUUGGGGUGACCGCGGAGUAUAAGAUAUCCUCCAUGAAAAAAAGCUAACUGCCCUUAUUAGAGAAAGACACUUCCAAAAAAUAAUAAAUUAAUUUUAAAUGAUCCGACAUUCGAUCAACGAACCAAGUUACCCUGGGGAUAACAGCGCAAUCCGUCCCGAGAGCCCCUAUCGACAGGCGGGUUUACGACCUCGAUGUUGGAUCAGGGUAUCCUAGUGGUGCAGCAGCUACUAAAAGGUUCGUUUGUUCAACGAUUAAAACCCU